rnacentral:rRNA from 1 species
AGUGAACGCUGGCGGUAGGCCUAACACAUGCAAGUCGAACGGCAGCACAGUAAGAGCUUGCUCUUACGGGUGGCGAGUGGCGGACGGGUGAGGAAUACAUCGGAAUCUACUUUUUCGUGGGGAUAACGUAGGGAAACUUACGCUAAUACCGCAUACGACCUACGGGUUAAAGCAGGGGAUCUUCCGACCUUGCGCGAAUGAAUGAGCCGAUGUCGGAUUAGCUAGUUGGCGGGGUAAAGGCCCACCAAGGCGACGAUCCGUAGCUGGUCUGAGAGGAUGAUCAGCCACACUGGAACUGAGACACGGUCCAGACUCCUACGGGAGGCAGCAGUGGGGAAUAUUGGACAAUGGGCGCAAGCCUGAUCCAGCCAUACCGCGUGGGUGAAGAAGGCCUUCGGGUUGUAAAGCCCUUUUGUUGGGAAAGAAAAGCAGCAGGUUAAUACCCCGCUGUUCUGACGGUACCCAAAGAAUAAGCACCGGCUAACUUCGUG